rnacentral:lncRNA from 1 species
AAUUAGGUGUUCUCUUAACUGCCUACUUUGAUUGAUUGUGAUGGGCCACCUGGAACAUGGUGUUAAGAAGCAUUUUCGGCCCAAUUCCAGGCUCAGUGGAAAAGAGGAAAAUCCUUACUUUUUGCUACAGUGACUUGGGUCCUAUUGUUCCAGAUCCAGCAUUUUAAUCCUGGCACUUGAUGGCAAUGGAUACAAGAGUGACAAAAGAUGAGGGUGUCAUGAAACCAUCAGUUUGCCAAGUCAUACUGAGUCAUUCAUCUGGAGGACAGCCGAAGGGGUUAAUUAAAAACAGCUGCAUCUAAUCAUACUG